GUGCCAGCCGCCGCGGUAAUACGUAGGGAGCGAGCGUUGUCCGGAUUUACUGGGUGUAAAGGGUGCGUAGGCGGCUCUGCAAGUCAGGUGUGAAAACUAUGGGCUUAACUCAUAGAUUGCACUUGAAACUGUGGGGCUUGAGUGGAGUAAAGGCAGGCGGAAUUCCCGGUGUAGCGGGGAAAGGCGUAGCGAUCGGGAGGAAAACCAGGGGCGGAGGCGGCCUGCUGGGCUUUAAAUGACGCUGAGGCACGAAAGCAUGGGUAGCAAACAGGAUUAGAUGCCCUGGUAGUCCAUGCCGUAAACGAUGAUUACUAGGUGUGGGGGGUCUGACCCCUUCCGUGCCGGAGUUAACACAAUAAGUAAUCCACCUGGGGAGUACGACCGCAAGGUUGAAACUUAAAUGAAUUGACGG
rnacentral:rRNA from 1 species